GGGCCGUGCUCAGAGGAUGUGGCGAAGUUUUGUUUGGAGCAGGAACUCCAUUGGCAAUUUAUGAAUUUCCAGUUAGAUUUAACGUGUGAGUGACGUUUUCAGGCCAAGGAUAUUAUUGGAUUCCCAGGAUGUGAGGACUUGGCUUGUGUUUUCAAUGGCUGGACAUCCAUGUCGGCGAUUUGGUUCAACGUUCAUGUCGAUUUUGCUGAGAUGGGCAUUGAGGUUGUUGUGUCCUGACCGUAAUAUAUAGAGAGCUAUAUGUUAAUCGGUCUGUGUGGGUGGUGGAACCAUUCUGUAAUGCCCAAUCUUGAUUUGAAGGGCAAUGAUCUUCUGGCUGGUAAUGUUGUUUUUGAUGGUAUUGCUGAGAGGUAUAUUUCCAGUAUCGUUUGCCAGAUUGUCUGCUUGGGUAUUGCCUGGGAUGCCUACGUGCCUUGGAAUCCAAAUCAGGUGAGUUUUGGUUCCUGCUGCUUUAAGACUUAGUAACAUGUUCCAUAUUGCAAUAAUUCUUUCCUCACAGCUAGAUUAUUCGUAUAAAAAAAAUUUAAAAAAAUU